rnacentral:rRNA from 1 species
UGAAGCGGCAACAGCUCAAAUUUGAAAUCUGGCUCUUUCAGAGUCCGAGUUGUAAUUUGCAGAGGGCGCUUUGGCUUUGGCAGCGGUCCAAGUUCCUUGGAACAGGACGUCACAGAGGGUGAGAAUCCCGUACGUGGUCGCUAGCUAUUGCCGUGUAAAGCCCCUUCGACGAGUCGAGUUGUUUGGGAAUGCAGCUCUAAAUGGGAGGUAAAUUUCUUCUAAAGCUAAAUAUUGGCCAGAGACCGAUAGCGCACAAGUAGAGUGAUCGAAAGAUGAAAAGCACUUUGGAAAGAGAGUCAAACAGCACGUGAAAUUGUUGAAAGGGAAGCGCUUGCAGCCAGACUUGCUUGCAGUUGCUCAUCCGGGCUUUUGCCCGGUGCACUCUUCUGUAGGCAGGCCAGCAUCAGUUUGGGCGGUGGGAUAAAGGUCUCUGUCACGUACCUCUCUUCGGGGAGGCCUUAUAGGGGAGACGACAUACCACCAGCCUAGACUGAGGUCCGCGCAUCUGCUAGGAUGCUGGCGUAAUGGCUGUAAGCGGCCCGUCUUGAAACACGGACCAAGGAGUCUAACAUCUAUGCGAGUGUUUGGGUGUCAAGCCCGAGCGCGUAAUGAAAGUGAACGGAGGUGGGAACCCGCAAGGGUGCACCAUCGACCGAUCCUGAAGUUUACGGAAGGAUUUGAGUAAGAGCAUGGCUGUUGGGACCCGAAAGAUGGUGAACUAUGCUUGAAUAGGGUGAAGCCAGAGGAAACUCUGGUGGAGGCUCGCAGCGGUUCUGACGUGCAAAUCGAUCGUCAAA